rnacentral:rRNA from 1 species
UACGUAGGGGGCAAGCGUUGUCCGGAUUUAUUGGGCGUAAAGAGCGUGUAGGCGGCCAGAUAGGUCCGUUGUGAAAACUCGAGGCUCAACCUCGAGGCGCCGAUGGAAACCAUUUGGCUAGAGUCCGGAAGAGGAGAGUGGAAUUCCUGGUGUAGCGGUGAAAUGCGCAGAUAUCAGGAAGAACACCCGUGGCUAAGGCGGCUCUCUAGUACGGUACUGACGCUGAGACGCGAAAGCGUGGGGAGCGAACAGG